rnacentral:rRNA from 1 species
GUCUAUGCCAUUCCAUCCUGAACAAGCCUGAUCCCGUCUGAUCUCGGAAGCUAAGCAGGGUCAGGCCUGGUUAGUACUUGGAUGGAAGACCACCUAGGAAGACUGGGUGCUAUAAGCU